CCUACGGGAGGCAGCAGUGGGGGAUAUUGCACAAUGGGGGGAACCCUGAUGCAGCGACGCCGCGUGGGUGAAGAAGCGCCUCGGCGCGUAAAGCCCUGUCAGCAGGGAAGAAAAUGACGGUACCUGAAGCAGAAGCCCCGGCUAACUACGGGCCGGCAGCCGCGGUAAUACGUAGGGGGCAAGCGUUAUCCGGAUUUACUGGGUGUAAAGGGGGCGCAGUCGGCGAUGCAAGCCAGGAGUGAAAGCCCGGGGCCCAACCCCGGGACUGCUCUUGGAACUGCGUGGCUGGAGUGCAGGAGGGGCAGGCGGAAUUCCUGGUGUAGCGGUGAAAUGCGUAGAUAUCAGGAGGAACACCGGUGGCGAAGGCGGCCUGCUGGACUGCAACUGACGUUGAGGCCCGAAAGCGUGGGGAGCAAACAGGAUUAGAUACCCCUGUAGUC
rnacentral:rRNA from 1 species